AGGAACUGCUGAAUGAGGCAGACAGGAAACAGUUCAGAUGCGGGAAUCCACAAAAGUCUGAACGCACUAAGCGAGUGAUGGACCAGAUCAAGAAAGAUUUGGAUUCAAAGCUCCAGUUCAGUUCAAUUCAUCCCACUAAAGUUCCGCCUAGUAAUAAGAACAUAAAUGUUCCCGUCAAGCCCAACAAAGCAGUCAUGAUGAGGGAGACAGCUCUGCUUCAACGUAAGAAGAAGGAGGAGCUGCAAAGGAAAGAGAUGGAGAAGGAGGCCAGCAUGGACAUUAGGCUGAAAGAUGCUGAACACAAGAG